UUCUGGCUCAGGAUGAACGCUGGCGGCGUGCCUAACACAUGCAAGUCGAACGGGUUAAGGGAAAUUUCGGAUGGAACUUAACUUAGUGGCGGACGGGUGAGUAACGCGUGGAUAACCUGCCUCACACUGGGGGAUAGCAGCUGGAAACGGCUGGUAAUACCGCAUAAGACCACAGCACCGCAUGGUGCAGGGGUAAAAGAUUUAUCGGUGUGAGAUGGAUCCGCGUCUGAUUAGCCAGUUGGCGGGGUAACGGCCCACCAAAGCGACGAUCAGUAGCCGGCCUGAGAGGGUGAACGGCCACAUUGGGACUGAGACACGGCCCAAACUCCUACGGGAGGCAGCAGUGGGGAAUAUUGCACAAUGGGCGCAAGCCUGAUGCAGCAAACCGCCGCGUGAGUGAAGAAGUAUUUCGGUAUGUAAAGCUCUAUCGGCAGGGAAGAAAGGCCCGAAAGGGAGAUGACGGUACCUGACUAAGAAGCCCCGGCUAACUACGUGCCAGCCGCGGC
rnacentral:rRNA from 1 species